CGCCCCGCAUGGGGAGUGGCAGACGGGUGAGUAACGCGUGGGAACGUACCCUUUCCUGCGGAAUAGCUCCGGGAAACUGGAAUUAAUACCGUAUACGCCCUACGGGGGAAAGAUUUAUCGGUAAAGGAUCGGCCCGCGUUGGAUUAGCUAGUUGGUGGGGUAAAGGCCUACCAAGGCGACGAUCCAUAGCUGGUCUGAGAGGAUGAUCAGCCACAUUGGGACUGAGACACGGCCCAAACUCCUACGGGAGGCAGCAGUGGGGAAUAUUGGACAAUGGGCGCAAGCCUGAUCCAGCCAUGCCGCGUGAGUGAUGAAGGCCUUAGGGUUGUAAAGCUCUUUCACCGGAGAAGAUAAUGACGGUAUCCGGAGAAGAAGCCCCGGCUAACUUCGUGCCAGCAGCCGCGGUAAUACGAAGGGGGCUAGCGUUGUUCGGAAUUACUGGGCGUAAAGCGCACGU
rnacentral:rRNA from 1 species